ACACUGCUGGUUAGGGGCAGGGCUGGGGCUAGAGUCCAUGUAGCUCUGGAAAAAGUUUGGGCAGAUGCUAUCUCAUCCCAUGAACUUCUUCCCUUGCUACCCAUUCUAUCUCCCCAAAGGAGGUCCCUGAUAACCUAACAUGGUCAGGGAACUACCUGGGCUCACUCACAGCUCUUAAAGCACUUGCUGGGACCUUGGCCAGGUGGAGUUACCAAAAUCCUGUAGACUGGAGGCAGGGGGAUCCAACUAUCACCAUAUUAGAGAUUGGCAAACUGAGGCUGCUAGCUAACCGCAGAGGGCAAGAUUUGAUAUUGAGUACUGUGUUCUUCCUGCAGAAAGACCUGAGAAGCCCAAACUCCCACAUAUGCAGAGUCACUAUUUACAAUAAUCAUGACUGCUGACUUCCUAAUGUCAGGGAAAUCCCCUCACUCCCACCAGUUCCUCCUGAAACAGAGCCUCCCUCCAUCUUGCACAGGGUGUCUGACUUAGGAAACAAACUGUACACCCACCCUCCUAAGCCACGCAGGCCUACUAGAUUGAUCACCUCCAAGUCAUACCCUUUAAUGGGGAAAUUUUUGUGCCAGGCACUUGACAUCGUCACUGCUCACAUCGGCCCUGAGCCCCUGCCCGGGGGUACUGAUGCCCCAUUUACAGAGGGACAAGCCCGAUUUCGGAGAGGUGAAGUCACUCGCCGAAAGUCGCACCGCCAGGGUCUGCGUGACACCCCAAAGCAGUGUUCAGUUACUCCGGGGAGAGCGCGAUGAACUUGAACCACUUGUUGGCUGGUUCCUGCUCUUGCUCGUUUUUUACGGAUCGGCACAUAGUGGGCGCUCAGGAAAAUAUAUGUUGGAAGUUUGAGAUUGAACUUGACAGCUCGACUCUGGGUACCCGCCACGAAUCCAGCCCAGCCCGCGGGGCACCGGGUUUCUCCAGACCUCGCAGGGAACAUUUGCGGAUGGGCUGGUAGAGGAGGCUCGGACAUCCCAGCUCCGCACCCGCACUCGACCAACGCGUGGUAGCGGAACCCCUGUCGUAGCGAGGCACAGAAUGGGUUCAAGUCCCGACUCUGCCGAUUUCAGGCUGAGUGACUUUGGGCGAGUCACUUUUUCCCAUCGAAACCUCAGUUGCUCCAUCCACAAAAUGGGAGAUAUGAACACCCACCCUAAAAGGGUGUGGGGAGGAUUAAACGAAACAACGUUCCCAAAA